CCUGAUAAUUGAAAUAUUUUUGAAUUAUUACAAUAAUUAUUGUAUAUAAACUACUUAGUCAUGUUUUGCCUUACUAGAUAUUAAAACAAAGAAUAAAUGUGAAGCAUUUAAAUUGUAUUGAGGUUUUAAUUUAUGAAUAAAUCUCUUACAUACCCUAUUAAACAAACAAUUAAAAUCUACGUGUACACAAUCUCCACAUUUAGAAUCAAAUAAUAUAUUUUCUCCAUGACGAUCUCCAAGGCCAAGAAUAUAUCCCACCAUAGACAUUACUGCUGUAGUUCUAAUAUAGGCAAAAUAAUUGUGAAACGCACCACCCAUAUGGAUCAGGGAAUGUAAGACGAAACCAAUCUCCGAGUACUGAUGGAUGACGCGGAAGAAGUUGUUGUAGAAACACCUUCUUUUUCUUCUCCAAUGGAUCUUUUAACGCUACAAUGCAAUGUUCAAAAAGACUACAAAUCCUUGGUCUCAUGAUAAAAUAUUGCUGAAUCUUGCUACACGCUACUUUUUGUAUUUCUUCUACAGCAUUAAGAUUAGUAUCUCGACCUAAACAUGAAUCUUUAAUUUAUAACAUAUUACAAAGAGAGGGCCAAAAAUAUUUAUACAUAAUUAACUCACAUUUC